GUUAGAAGCUUCGACUAAGGUUCGACUCGAGCGAAGCGAGAGAACGUUGCCGCAGGCAACGGCCCGAAGGGCGAGGCGCUUUAGCGCCGAGUAAUCCUUCCCCCACCACCA
rnacentral:sRNA from 1 species